rnacentral:lncRNA from 1 species
GUGGGGCCUAGUUUCAGGAAGUAGAUGCCUAGUUUCAGGAAGUAGAUGCCUAGUUUCAGGAAGUAGAUCCCCAGGCUUGACCUUUAAAGGGUGUAUUUUCUCUCCAACGUUUCUCUCUCUUCUCUCUCUCUCUCUCUCUCUCUCUCUCUCUCUCUCUCUCUCUCUCUCCUCUCUCUCCUCUCUCUCUUCUCUCUCUCUCUCGCCUUGAGGGGAGCAGCUGUGCCUCACUACUGCACUCCCCACCACCUUGAUCUGCCUCAACAAAGGCCAGAAGUGAUGGAGCCAACUGACUAUAAACUGAGACCUCUUAAACUGUGAACCAAAAUAAAUCUUUCCUCCUGGAAGUUGAUUUCCUCCCUUCCUAAGCCAGAGCAAGAUAAAGCUAACACACCUUCAGACUAU